GUCAGGGAGGAGUGGUGUCAUGUUGUGGGGAGCAUUGGGGUGAUUGGGGCAGGGCAGGGUUGCUGUGUGCUUCCUUUGGAGGGUCAUGGGGCUCAUGGUAGAUAAGCUGUUGAGCACUUGUUGAGCCAUGUGGGUAGGGUUGCAGUAUAGUAUGGUAGUGUUUUCAGGUAGGCAGUGGUGGUAAGCAUGCAGCAGUAGCUAGUCUAAUCACUUGAUAAUGUGAUGAGGAUCAAAGGAUGGAACCACAUCCAGUCAUCCAUACUCCAGGUUCUUGUCAAAGUUCUGCACUCUUUUUUUUAAAGAAAAGAAAGUAGUUGUGUCAAUAUCACACAGGGUGCUCAUGCUGAUUUUUU
rnacentral:lncRNA from 1 species